CGGCAUGUGGGAUCUUCCCGGACUGGGACACGAAUCCGUGUCCCCUGCAACGGCAGGUGGACUCUCAACCACUGCGCCACCAGGGAAGCCCUAAAACUCACUCCCUUAAGCAUUAUCAGGCCCCAGGGUUGCCACUUGAGCCUGAAUUUCCAAUCUGCCCAGAUAAAGAAGAGAGGAUUUGGGAGGGAAUUCUGCUGGAGUGAUGGCUCGGAAAAAGUGGUCUGAAGAUCACCAGCGAGCUUGCUGGACAUGCAGAAUCUUGGACCCGCUCCACACUCACUGAAUCAGAGCCUGAAUUUUCACAAGAUCUCACAGAAUCCAUCUGCACCGUCAAGUUUGAGAAAUUCAGGAUACAUCAUCACCCAUGACCAACCUUCCAGUAAAAACUAUACUCUUGAUGAAUGUUACAGUUUACAAAGUUGGUUUACAUAGAUGAUUUCAUUUAAAUUUACUAUUUUAUCUUCAUCCCAGCCACAAUGUAACAUUAUUCUUAUUCUUUUUAAUGAUGAAAUUGAGGUCCAGGAAGGUGACAGACUUGCCUAAAAUCCUGUGUCUGGAGCCAGGUAAAUCCCAACUUCAGUCUCGGUGGAUAGUAGAAUACUUUUUGAUUAUUAAUAGCGUGCUGAAGGUAGCAUUAGUAUGCAUGGUGAUUUUAGGUAUCGAUGUAAAGUAUGCUUUAUUCUCAUAUGUAUUAGAGAAAAAUAUAAUGAACAAACUAACCAGGUGUGGCAUUUCAUAGUUAUUAUUGCUUAAGGAGAUUUGUGUUCUGAGGGUGGUCCUUCCAUGUCCGAGGUUCAGGGAACAUUUCUCUAUAUUAUAGAUGUCACUCCUCUCUUUUAUUUACAGCAAUGUCAAGAUUCCAAUUUUAGUGACAAUUUAUAUUGAGUAAUUUUUUAUUUACUACAAACAUCCAGUGCAAUGUGUUGGUACAGGAAAAAGUAAAAGUUCUUUCAUGAAUAUUUCCCUGAACAGUAUUAGUACACCAAAGGUAUUUUCCACAAUCCAACUUUAUGCCUUACUAUAAACAGCAAUGGAACAAUUAGUAUACUCAAUCCUAUUCAGAAAGCUUAAGAGCCAUCUUUUUUUUUUAAUAAUUUUAUUUUAUUUUAUUUUUUAUUUAUUUAUUUUUGGCUGCGUUGGGUCUUUCUU